AGGACUAUACUUUCAGGGAUCAUUUCUGUAGUUGGUAACUAGAGGAGUGUGAUCGAGUGUCCGGCGUCACAAGCCACGAGGAGGAGCUGCGUGCUGUCUCCUGAGCGCGAGGCGGGCGGGCGGCGCUGCUGCAGUGCAGGGGCCUCCCGCCAUCGAUGACCGUUCCCGACUCCUUUAUGGGGUCUGGGAGGGAGAGAGCACAGGCUGAGUGGU
rnacentral:snoRNA from 1 species